rfam:Triticum urartu cultivar G1812 contig24418, whole genome shotgun sequence.
GUAGUACUCCCUGCGUCCGAAAAUACUUGUCAUCAAAAUGAAUAAAAGGGGAUGUAUCUAAAUGUAUAUUAGUUCUAGAUACAUUUUUUUAAUCCAUUUUGAUGACAAGUAUUUUCGGACGGAGGGAGUACUUG